UACAGAGGUGGCAAGCGUUGUUCGGAAUUACUGGGCGUAAAGGGCGAGUAGGCGGCCUUCUAAGUCAGACGUGAAAUCCCCCGGCUUAACCUGGGAACUGCGUCUGAUACUGGGAGGCUAGAGUAUGGGAGAGGGAUGUGGAAUUCCAGGUGUAGCGGUGAAAUGCGUAGAUAUCGGGAGGAACACCAGUGGCGAAGGCGACUACCUGGCCUGUUCUUGACGCUGAGGCGCGAAAGCUAGGGGAGCAAACGGG
rnacentral:rRNA from 1 species